rnacentral:rRNA from 1 species
GACGAACGCUGGCGGCGUGCCUAACACAUGCAAGUCGAACGAAGUGGCGAACGGGUGAGUAAUACGUGGGUAACCUGCCCUCCUUUUUGGGAUCAGCCUUGGAAACGGGGUCUAAUACCGAAUAAAGGGGGUUGGGCUCGCGGCCUAUCAGCUUGUUGGUGGGGUGAUGGCCUACCAAGGCGGUGGCGGGUAGCCGGCCUGAGAGGGUGACCGGCGACAUUGGGACGGAGAUGCGGCCCAGGCUCCGACGGGAGGCGGAAGUGGGGGAUAUUGGACAAUGGGGGAAAGCCUGAUGCAGCGAGGCCGCGUGGGGGAUGAAGGCUGUCGGGUUGUAAACCGCUUUCGCUAUCGAAAGGGGAGUUGGAGAAGAAGCGCCGGCUAACUACGUGCCAGCAGCCGCGGUAAUAC